UACGUAGGGGGCGAGCGUUGUCCGGAUUCAUUGGGCGUAAAGAGCUCGUAGGCGGUUCGGCAAGUCGGGUGUGAAAACUCCAGGCUCAACCUGGAGACGCCACCCGAUACUGCUGUGACUUGAGUCCGGUAGGGGACCACGGAAUUCCCAGUGUAGAGGUGAAAUUCGUAGAUAUUGGGAAGAACACCGGUGGCGAAGGCGGCUCUCUGGACCGAUACUGACGCUGAGGCGCGAAAGCGUGGGGAGCAAACAGG
rnacentral:rRNA from 1 species